rnacentral:rRNA from 1 species
AGCUCCAGUAGCGUAUAUUAAAGUUGUUGCAGUUAAAAAGCUCGUAGUUGGAUUUCUGGUUGACCGCGUAUGGUCCGGUGCCCUCAGGGCGCUGUGUACCGUCGUGCGUUUGCCAUCCUUGCGGAGAGUUGUGCCUACCGGCCUUUGUGCUGGCAGGGCGCCGCGACCCGCAUCUUUUACUUUGAAAAAAUUAGAGUGUUCCAAGCAAGCUUACGCUUUGAAUACAUUAGCAUGGAAUAAUAAUAUAGGACUUUUGUCUUAUUUUGUUGGUUUCUAAGAUGGAAGUAAUGAUUGAUAGGGAUAGUUGGGGGUGCUAGUAUUCAGCGGCCAGAGGUGAAAUUCUUGGAUUCGCUGAAGACUAACUACUGCGAAAGCAUUCACCAAGGAUGUCUUCUUUA